CCCCUCUCCGCUUGGCCUUUUCCUGUUCACAGGCUCCUGCACAAUGAGCCGAGCCGUAGCCAUAGCGACGGCAUGGAAGGAGGCUUUUUUUGUCUACAUAAGUUAAAACAAAAUAUAUGUGAGGAAAACAACCCUUCCCCCUCCCCUCUUCUUGUAAAGAGCCUUCGCUGUCCAUAUAAUUCAAAAAAGCCAGUGCAAACUUUUCCUCCGAAAAAGCGUGUGGGGGCUUUACUGCAUUCCUGCAGGCGGUGUUUUGUCUUGGGAGGAGAGUCGCCGUCCUAGAGCCUGGCCCGCGGGAAGCGGAGGUGUCAGCUCAGGGAAAGCACCACCUCCGUACGGAGAGGGACUCGGGAAAGCUCGGCGUAAUUCCCCGCCAGGCAGCGCUGCCCCGGGCUGGAGGCCAGCCCAGGGGUGUGAGUCGUGCCUCCUUAUCUUUGAGCUGACCAGAAGCUUUACUUCCUUCGGCUUGCACAAGCUUCCUCCUCACAGCGCUCGCCUCUCGGGGCUCUCCCUCCGCAUCCCUCGGGGAGCAAAAGCUGAGCGGGAGCGCUCACAGGGACCGACGGACGGCAGCGCCGAGGGAUGAAACCUGCCGGCUUUAAAUCAUUCACCUCACGCAACAGACUCGGCUGUGCCCGGUUGUUUUGCUUGCCUGGGCAAGAUUGCUUAAAUGGGUUUUUUUUCCCUUUCCCUUUCCUUUUUUUUUUUUUUUUUUUUCCCAAACUCAGGUUUCAGAGAAGUGGCUGCAAUUUAAAGGAAGGCCUCAGCUCCUGUCUGAAACCAAGCAGCAAAGCAGCACCGUGCCUGCUGCUCAUGUUUAAUCUCACUGCAAACUCAAAGCAGGCUCUAACUUCACCAUCCAGGAGAGAUUCCCUCCCAGGACUCUUUUUUCUCCCCCCAAGGCUUGGCUAAGUUUUGUUUGCUGUCCGACUGGUUUUUGGUAAAUACAACCUUGAUGGAGGGCUUCAGAACCCAUCAGGAGCUCAGACUUGUCCCCACAAGGAGCUUGUGGAGGAGAGGGUGUACGGUUGAAGACAGUGGAUGUGGGCUCUGGGGCGGGAGCACAGCCCAACACCAGCGCAGCACUGGGAGAUGCACCUCUCCCGACCUGAGCUCUGACUUUUUCUGCAAUCAGAAACACUCUGUGUUUGAUAACAGAAUAAAGCACAGAUUUACUCCAGCCCAAAGCAAGAGACAAAAAGCCCCAAGGGAUAAUUAGCUUGAGAGGAUGGAAAACAAACACCCUGUUCAGAAAACCGGCUCUCAGGUAAAUAGUUUUGUUUAUUUGUGUUUUGAACUUUGCAUAUUUUGAUUGUUGAUAUAGCAGGUGUCAGAUGGUCACAUCCACUCAAAGGGAAAAGGAACCUCCGUUUUUUGAACUGUUUCCCUUCUCCACUGAAACAGACUAAAAAUAAUGUGCUUUGGUAAGAUGAAACCAGGUGCCCAUCCGCUCCUGAAAGUUUGCUGUCCAGUAUGAUGAGGUGGUUUUACAUCUUCCAAAUCACCUCCCAGGAACCCACUGUGAAGGGAUGGGACAUGAAUCCCUGAAAUUCCUACUAGAAACCUUUCUCCACACAGGGAAAAAACAUGAGAGACACGGUAGUUUUCCACAUGAAAGCCCAUCAGUGUUUCCAAGUAACUGGAUAUUGCAGUGUUAUUUUUGAAACACACUGAUAAAACUGCAGGGUGAGAUUUUGCAAAGCUGGUUACUAUAAUUGGACGCCCAGAUACCACUGUGAAGGUACCCUUGAACAGUCUUUAUUGCUCUCACGAUGAGCAAACUCCAGUCUGGGCUCCCUGUGAUCUCCCUGAACUUCCAGAUUUGGCCCACUUGAGUCACUGACACACAAACACCACCACACACCUUGUGCAGGAGGAAACAAGACUUGUAGUUUUGGUUUGUUGUCUUGUGCCUUUUGCAAUCAGUUUACAUGAUAGGAUUUGGGUUUCUGCCCCAGCCAGCUUCCUGCCACAGCCUAGGACAAAUGUACAAGAACAUUUUCAACCUCUGCCUCAAAUGUUUUUUAGCUACAUUUGCAGGUACAUGGGAGUUAACAUAGAGGGAUGGAUCAAACUCUGCAUUCACCACUCCUGGAGGUCAUAACCUCUGUACAGAGGUGUAGCUUUGCCACUGGGGCAGAAAAUGUAAGUUAAAAAGGAGGCAGGAGAAGAGAUCUGCAGCACUGAAGGAGGCCAGGUGCAGGGGCUGACCACAGCCUGCCACAGGAAGCCACACACCCAACAGAGGAAGCAGCAUCCAAGGAAACAGUUUAGACUUUAUCCUUUCCAGAUAAUGUAAUCAGAACAAACUAGAAGACUUAUUUCACAAAAUCAGAAGUCUUAGAGGUACAUUCUUGGGAUACAUUAAUAAUAUCUGGAUUAUUUUUACCUCCCAUUGAUGUAAUUAGCCACAACUCAGUGGAUUAGCAAGUACUGGAUUUGGUGGUGUGGGAGCAGGAAUUAUUUGUUGCUGAAGAGCAACAGGCAGAACUAGCAGAUGGAGGCAGCAACAAGUGCUAGGAUCAAAGAAAUAACACCUUAUUAAUCCAGUUUUAAACAAAACGAAACUAGCUGAAAAUUUGAGGGAUAGUGGCUGUUCUUUAGCCAGGCAAGAAAGCACACCCAUUUUAUGUAACUACAUUUUUCUGAAAGCUGUAAAGCUGCCAGACUGUAAAACAGGGUGAUAAACCAAAGUCCGCUGCAUUACAAAGUACAGCUAGUCCAAAUGACAGUGAAGUCAGGACAAGGCUGAAGAAUCCCAAAGGAAAACAAAAAUAAAUUACAUAAGCAAAUACUCAGGAUUUAUAGACAUGAGUUGACUACCUCCUCAGCACAAAGUAAUAAAAUUAUUCUGUAUUUGUAUGCUGGGUUUGCCAUCACCACAAUUUAAAAUUUGAUUACAGAAGUCCUGCAGGCACUCAGAACCACAGAGCUCCUUUACCUGCCACUUGGGCUUGGUGUCAGCAAGCUAUUAUUUUCUGCUGUUAAAAGCCAAAGCACUUUUCACCCCCGCAGCUCAACAUAGUCAGACAUCCCUGCUUCACUCCCAGGCAGGGCCAGGUUUGCCUCUAGGCACCCAUAGCCGUGUGCCUCUCCAGCACAGUUUGGGCAGCUGGGGCUUCCCUUACACGGGCUUACAUCUGGUUUCUCAGCUGGGGUACUUUCUGCAAUAAGCACAGGACUGCAAAAGUGAAACUUCCUUUUAACACAGGUCUAAAAGCAAGUAGAGGUGUAGAGGAGGAUGUGACAUUAUCUCCUGUUUGUUCUUAAAGAAGCUGUUGAGACUUUUGGAUCCAAGAAGUGAUGGUCCUUUCACUUAACUUAUAAAGCAUCAGGUGCUCCUGUUAACAGAAGUACAGAAUGUAACCCAAAUGUAAAUGCACCUCAGGCACAUGCAGCUUGCAAUAAAAGGUUUAGAAGCACCAGUAUGCUGUGGGCUGUGCUGGGCCAGCCCUCACCCCUUGCCAGAGCACAGCCACAGCCCCUCAGCUGGCUGGGCUGCCCUGCAUGUGCAAAGCCACAUGGGGACAGUGGCACUUGCAGCUGGUCCUUCUCUUUCAUGAUCUUUUCUAAGUUCAGCCACGGAGGCCUUACUUUACACAGCUCCAAACAGCACCAAGCCCAGCACAGGUGCUGCAGGAUGUUUCGGAGGAGUUUCUGUGGGAGCUGGCACAGGACAGAGGGGCAUGGAGGUGUCCAUGAGCAACUGGAAGUUCCCAACCCCGUGGUGCACAAGCACUUGCUGUCCACUGAAGGUCGCACCGAGUACUCCGUGGGAGAGACAGAUGCCUGGGGAAAUGACCACAGACAACUCCAAGUGUAAAAUCCUCGUAGUAUUGUUUCUGGUGAUACUGCAGCCAGCAAAACCUGCCUGGCUGCAGCGUGGGGGACACCUGCAGGCUCAGCACCUGCCAACACACACACGGAGACGCACUGUGCCAGCCAAUGCCAAGACUGUGUCCUUUUCCAGGGAGGCUGAGCCCCAGCAGCCUCAUGACAUGGCAAACAGUGUUUGAGAAAAGCCUGGUUUGUCCGAGGCAGCUUCUCUGCAGCGGGGCUGAGCUGUGGCAGCUGGGAUUUAGUGCCUGCUGGGACACCACAGCCAGAGUCACAGCUGUGGGCUCGGUGUGGCCCAUGGUGGGAGCGUGAUGGAGGAGAAACCUGCUGAGGUAAACACAGGCAGACGUGGGGAGCAAGCAUGGAUUUGUCCCUCCCCAGGCUUUUGGGCAUGCCAAGGGCAGGGGAGGGCUGGCAGUGGGUCUGCUCAGCUGCUGGGCCCACUCAGCAACUACUCGGCAUCACAGGGAAAGGAAGCUCAAACUUCUCCUUCAGACAGGGAAGUGCCUUGUCUGAAGAGGCUUCGGACUGGAACGUGACAGGCCCAGGGUGUGUUACGGCGCCGUGGAUAACAGCAUGCUUGGCUGCCUGUCUCACAGGCAGUGGCCUGGCACAUGGGGUAAAACACACUCUGAGUUUUGUAAGUGAAGAAAUACAGUGCCCUGUGGAGAAGCAGCAAGCAUUCCCAAAAACAGCUUUCUGCAACACAGCUGGCUUGAAACAUCAGUAUUUUUUCCAGAGAGUCUCUUUUACCAAAACACUGCAAACUCAGCCACUACCCCAGGCCAGGCAAGUACAGCCAGGAUGAUGUCCAGGGCUGACUUCAAGUCAGCCCUCCCUGUGACACCUGAGAACAACCUCCAUAGACAUCCAGCAGUGCUGCCAUCAUUAACUAAAUCCCCUUUUUUUCAGAGUAGUUUAUUUAAUCACAUAGUCUCAGAGUUAUGUGUGACUCACAUCACGUGUGAGUGAGCGCACAUGAGUUCCUCUUCUUCUGCCCCGUUAAAGCCAUAGUUAAAAGACUUUUCCCACAGAGAUAUAGUGGAGUUUUACUUAAUUCACAGCAAAUACAGUCAGUACCUGAGUGAUAAUGUGCAUAAAUAGUACAUGAUUUGCACCCGAUCAGGUUUUUUUUGUGUAGUUUCCAUUAAAGGUGUAGCAGUGAACUUCUAAUGCUCGUGUCCAGCUGUGGGAUGAGUGGGAUAAAAGUGGGCUGGGUGGAAAGCUGGCUGAAGGGCAGGGCUCAGAGGGUUGUAGUGAAUGGGACUACAUCUGGCUGGUCACCAGUGGUGCUCCUCAGGGCUCAGUUCUAGGGCCAGUUCUGUUCAGUGUUUGGAGAAAAGGAGGCUGGGGGCAAUCUCAUUGCUCUGUACAGCUUUCUGGGGAGGGGAAGUGGAGAGGGAGGUUAAGAUCUCUUCUCCCUGGGGUCCAGUGGUGGGAUGUGUGGGAAUGGUUCAAAGCUGCAUCAUCAGGGGAGGUUUGGACUGGACAUUAGGAACCUCUUCACCAGGAGGGUGGUCAAACACCAGAACAGACUUCCUGGAGAGGUGGUUGAUGGCCCAAGCCUGUGUUUAAGAGGCAUUUGGAGAAUGCCCUUAACAAUCUGCUUUGACUUUUGGUUACCCUGAAGUGGUCAGGCUGUUGGACUAGAUCUUCUUUGUAGGUCCUUUCCAAGUGAAAUAUUUCUGUUCUGUUCUGUAUCACAAGGAAGACUACAGAAAGUGUGUUGAAGACACUAAACAUUGCAUUUUUGUAAACAAUUUAAGUGUUUUUUUCUUGGGACAACUGUAUGACUAGAGAAUUAAAUAAGAGACAGUUACAAUCACCAAUUAGAAGUCUGUACUACACCCUCUGUUUUGGAAAUUGCUGCCCAUUGCAGCCAAGUGCCAUGUUUUGUGUCCUUUGACCAGCCAAAAAAGACAUGCUCUACCUGGAACCCCAAUGUGUCCCUGACUCCGUCCCAGCAGGGUGAGGAUCUGGUCCCCACAGCAAGGACUGCCAGCCCCAGCUGGUACCUGCUGGCUGCCUCCCUGCAGGUGUUCUAGGGGGGUUUGGCAUGGGAGGACAGCCCACAUCCCACAGAAUCCUGUGGUGGGGCUGACUAAUGGCUGAGCCACGUCUCCAGUACAAUCACGUUGCUUACAGUAAGCCCAUCUCCUCUCAUUUCCUGGAGGGCAGUGGCUGGGUGCCAUUUGGACUUUUUCCCAUGCCUUUUGUGAAAAAGGCAGGAGGUCUUAUGGAGCUCUGGGCUGCCCAUGUCACCUGAUGUGUGGGUGUGGGGGCUCAGCAUCAUCUCAGGACCACCCUCCUUGGGCCAUCCCCUCAUGAGAGGGCUUGGUGCAGCCUGACCCUGUGAGCUCACACCAGCACUGCUGGCAGCACCCACUUCCUGCACUGAGCCCUGAAAAUUCCGGUCGGGCACCCAACACCUGCCAGUUUCUUUUUAGUCAGAGGCUCUGCGACACCGGGUUUUAUCUGUCCUUCCCUGCCCUAUGACAAUCCCUCAUCCCACUGACUCAUCUGAAGGUAAAUAGUGCCCAGGUAACCUGGCACUCAGCAGGAAACCCUCACCUCUGCUGUGCCUGAUCACAGGUAACCUUCAAGAAUGCCCCAGGAGAAACAUUUGGUGCACUUUUCCAGCAAAGUGUUUAAAAACAUUUAUCAAUCCAAAACCACCACUGCACUGGGAUUAUCAUAUGACAUAUUGGUUGUGUCUACUUAUGUUUUCAGUAAGAUAACAAUGGCUCAGGCUUGUUAAUCUAUAAAGAGAAUUAGGGCACUGUAAUGGCAUAGGCAUGCUUGGAAAGGGCCUGAUAACUUCUUUGUUAUAAAUACAGUUUUGCUUGUCUCUUUCCUUCCUUUUUUUAGUACAAAUGAAAUGGAUCAGAUGAAUAAAUCAGUGCCUAAAUCUCCAUC